rnacentral:rRNA from 1 species
CGUGUGGUUCUAUUUUGUUGGUUUCUAGGACCGCCGUAAUGAUUAAUAGGGACAGUCGGGGGCAUCAGUAUUCAAUUGUCAGAGGUGAAAUUCUUGGAUUUAUUGAAGACUAACUACUGCGAAAGCAUUUGCCAAGGAUGUUUUCAUUAAUCAGGAACGAAAGUUAGGGGAUCGAAGACGAUCAGAUACCGUCGUAGUCUUAACCAUAAACUAUGCCGACUAGGGAUCGGACGGUGUUAUAUUUUGACCCGUUCGGCACCUUACGAGAAAUCAAAGUGCUUGGGCUCCAGGGGGAGUAUGGUCGCAAGGCUGAAACUUAAAGAAAUUGACGGAAGGGCACCACCAGGGGUGGAGCCUGCGGCUUAAUUUGACUCAACACGGGGAAACUCA